rnacentral:rRNA from 1 species
GGUGAGUGAUAAGAUCCAUCGUGGAAAGGGGAACAGCCCAGAUCAUCAGCUAAGGUCCCUAAAUCUAUGCUAAGUGGAAAAGGAUGUGGAGUUGCGUAGACAACUAGGAUGUUGGCUCAGAAGCAGCCAUCAUUUAAAGAGUGCGUAAUAGCUCACUAGUCGAGUGACGCUGCGCCGAAAAUGUACCGGGGCUAAGCAUAUUACCGAAGCUAUGGAUGCAUCCAUUAGGAUGCGUGGUAGGAGAGCGUUCCAAGGGCGAUGAAGUCAGACCGUAAGGACUGGUGGAGCGCUUGGCAGUGAGAAUGCCGGUAUGAGUAGCGAAAGAUAGGUGAGAAUCCUAUCCGCCGAAAGACUAAGGUUUCCUGGGGCAGGCUCGUCCGCCCAGGGUAAGUCGGG